rnacentral:lncRNA from 1 species
ACGCAGAAUUCACCUCCGCCGCGUCCCCCGCUCCUCGGCAGCGGGAUUCAGAGGCGGCGAGAGCUGAAGCAGCAUGAAUGUUCUCGUUGCUUCACGCUGUAAUCGGCUGCUGCACGAAUCAAGAACAAGUUCUUGGGCGGGUUACGAUCUGAUGCGUCGCAUGUUCUUGACGGUUCCGAAUCAGAGAUUUGGACCAGAUUCCAUGCAUCAAUCAUUUCGGAUGGGGAGAUUGGACCGGAUAGAACACCUUCUAUUUAAAAACAGAUCUCUCAGAAGAAAUUAACUGCUGGUAGCAGAAUCGAUCUCUCCAAUAUUAGAAAACCCACCCGGUUCUUUCAUGGGGAAUGGAUUAAAACCAGAAUUCGAAGAACCAAUCAGUUAGGAUCAUCGUCAAUGGAAUUCAAAGUAUUAUCGCUCCAAAAUUAGAGAAAAACGGAUCCUUUAAUGGGGGAUGAUCAUGGAGGAGGAGUACCUCCGGAAGCUGAUCCCGAUCGCCGCCAAGCUGGUCCUGGUCGAAGGCCAUCGCCGCCGUCGCGCCGCCGGACUGAGCCUCCGCCAUUCCCACAGAACCCACAAAACCCAUCGUCCUCUAUCUUCCUCCUCCCAGAUCAUUCGCCGGGAAAGGAACCAACGGAGACAUCGCCGGGGACCCCCUCGAGCGGCGGCGAGGCCAGAAUCUCCACCGGGGGCGGCCGCCGCUCCGUCGCCGGCGAGAGGACGAGGUCGGUGCAACCAGCGCCGGUGGUUCGCCGGAUUUUGUGAAGCCCGGUUUCUUC